AUGGGCCGUAUCUCUUCGCCACACUCUCUUGCAUCUUCUUCCCGGCACACGGUUCAUGCUCCUCCGCCGCCGCCUCCUCUCCACCGCGGCGGCCGCCGCCCGCGGCCCGCCGCCGAUCCGCGUGGACCUGGCGGAGUCCGCCGGCCGCGGCGUCUUCGCCACCCGCCCGGUCCCCGCCGGCGAGCUACUCCACUCCGCGCAGCCCCUCGUCUGCCACCCCUCUCCAUCGCUGCUCCACGAGGUGUGCUACAGCUGCCUCAGGAGGAAGCCCGGGGAGGGGCGUGUCUCGAGCGGGGGCUACUACUUCUGCAGCGACGCUUGCAGGGAGCAGGCCAAGGGGUUCCAUGAUGUUGAUAAGAACGCGGAUUGGUCUUCAUUCGAUGAUCACUGCAGUUCACGUGGUCUGAAAUAUCCAUACAUGGCCAAGCGGCUUGCUUGCAUGGUAAUAUCAGGAGCUGCUAAUGCGGAUUGUCUUAACAUACUUCAGCCAGCCCGCUUGCACCAGGGGACGCUCAUCGAGAUGGAGGAGGAGUUCGAGUUGUUGGAGUCCACUUUUAGGAAAGCUGGGUUUCAGGAAGAAGUCACAAGCUGUAUCCUUGAAUCUUAUUUUACUUCCUUCUGUAGUGUCAUGAAUGUUUACAACCAAGUGUUCAUAAUUUUUGGUUUUCUCCAUAUGGUUUCUCUCAAUCCGUUUCAAAUUUGGUUUUCCUGUAAUCAACAACAACAACAACAACAACAUAGCCUUUUGUCCCAAGCGAGUUGGGGUAGGCUAGAGAUGAAACCCAAAAGACACAAAGGUCAUGGUUCAGGCACAUUGAUAGCUAGUCUCCAAGCGCUCCUAUCCAAAGCUAACUCCUCAGAGAUAUCCCAAUCUUUAAGGUCUCUCUUAACCGACUCCUCCCAAAUCAGUUUAGGUCUACCUCUACCCCUCUUUACCUUAUCAACACGCUUUAGCACCCCACUUUGGCAAGGAUACGCAUAAAUGCAUUUCGCAUUGAACUGGUUGCAAGCUCAUAUGAGGAUCUUCUAUCCUCAGCAGCAGCCUCUGUAUCAUGUGAUGCAUCUGUUGGCAAUGCAGUUUAUAUGCUUCCCUCGUUCUAUAACCAUGACUGUGGUAUGCUCUUCUCCUACUCAUUUUGGAAUAAGUGCAAUAUCUAUCAUAUUCUUAUUAUGAUUUUGUUUUGCUAACAGCGAUUCAGUCGAUAGGCUGCCAAACCAAAUUUUAGGAUUUGUCGCUGCCCUUUUUUGGUAGUAUAGUGCUUGUUGACUGUACUGUUUAACAUCUCUUUACUAUAUCAGUGGUCUAUAGCAUCCAAUAGCAGAUGUCUUUGCUAAACUAUUAUCAGUGAAAAGCCACUUUUUACAUUUUUUUAUGUAUACGGCUAUAUGGGUAAUAUUAUGGUGAAAAUAUAAGUAAAAUGUUUCAUCCAAUGGCAGCAAUUUUGAAGCUGCUGAAUAUAACCUGUUUUUCCUUUCAAGACCGAAGGUAUUGGCCCUGCUUUUUAAAGAAAGCAAAAGCAUAGGUUGCUGUGGUUACCAGUUUUACAGACCAAGAAAAAACUGGUUCUUAUAAGAAGCAACCAGAAAUCUUACCAUCUUUAUCAAACUAAUUAACUUUCCUGCGUAGAUCGACCUUAACUCCAAAAGAGCGACUACAGUCUACACAUCCUCGGUUUUGGCAACAUAGUCUAUAAUCACAACCACUCAGUUCUAGGUAUCAAAAAGAAAAAAAAAAGAAAAGAAAUGGUCCAGCUAGAGUUCUAGACUCAGAUAGUGCGACUACUCUAGCCAUUAUCUGUGAGCCUCCCAUUGUUUCUUCAUGCUUCUUUCUGAUUUUCUCCAUUAAUGCAUCUAUUUUGCAUUGGUCUUCAUGCUUCCACAAAGCUCUCCAUCACUGCAUAAACUAUAAGACCCUGUGAACACAAGUGUUAGGGGAGGAAAUAACUUUGUUUUGGCACACCAGCUCGUUUCUGGUGAGCCAAUAUGUCCAGAAAACACAACCCAUCAAGAUCAUAGUUCCUUUUUUUUUGUUAUUUUCUUUUUGCUUCCACCCUGGUCAGAGAAUUUGAUAGUGAAAUCAGAUAGAUGCAUUGGACAGCUCUGCCAUUGGAGCACGUCUAUGCACCAAACGUAUCAUGCUAUUAGGCAGAUGAACAUUAUAUGGUCUGCACUUGCAGCAACACCUCAUAAUAUGCACCAUUCGCUCCCCUUCCGUUCCUUUUCUGUUAGCUGGUCUACGGGUUGUAUUCUGACUUGAUGAAAAAGCCACAAGAAGUUUUUGAUCUUUAGAGGGAUAGGAGAGGACCACAUAUCAAGCAUAUCUAUUUAGAUCUCUAACUCCAGAAAAUUCAAUCUGUUUGUAUGAAUAGGAAGUUCUCAGCUUUCCAUAUUUCUUUAUGUUCCAUCUCACUGUAUCUUUGUCUUCUGUCAAAUGCACAGUGUUUCUCUAUGUUAGUUGUUGAGGUCCAAAAUUCCUCUUAAACUCCAGGUUGACAACUCUGAUAUAUAAAUCUUUAAUCUUGCUUAAAUGUAUCUUUCCGCAUAAACCUGUUAUCCCUUCUGAAUCGAAAUCCAAAUAUUUACCUUCUCUGCAUUGACUCUCAGAUCCAAAUACUCACAUAGUUUGGUUGGAAAACGUGGAUGCUAAAUUGAAGGCCCUCCGUGACAUUGAAGAAGGAGAGGAGCUGCGCAUCUGCUACAUCGAUACUAGCAUGGAUGUCAAUGCUCGGCAGAAGAUUCUUGCUGACGGAUUUGGCUUUGAGUGCCACUGCCUUCGGUGCUUGUCUGGAGAUUAGACAUGUUUCACCUCUAGAGUCUUCCUUAGCAUGAUGAAUUGCCAUGUAGACUGGUUCGUUAAGCAGUUUGAGGUCCAUGGCCUUAAGCACUAUCCUGCAGAGCUGCGGUCCUCUGUACAUUAGCUAAUGCUGCUCUGAAUUUUUGACGGUUAGGAGUAAGCAUUACUUUGGUUACUACAAGCCCAGCAAUUUGAUUUAUUUACUUAAAAGAGCUGAAUGUUGUGGUCAC